rnacentral:rRNA from 1 species
GGAUUAGAUACCCUGGUAGUCCACGCCGUAAACGAUGAGAACUAGAUGUUGGCCCCCUUCGGGGGGGUAGUAUCGCAGCUAACGCAUUAAGUUCUCCGCCUGGGGAGUACGGUCGCAAGACUAAAACUCAAAGGAAUUGACGGGGGCCCGCACAAGCGGUGGAGCAUGUGGUUUAAUUCGAUGCAACGCGAAGAACCUUACCUACACUUGACAUCCUCGGAAUCCUCUAGAGAUAGAGGAGUGCCUUCGGGAACCGAGUGACAGGUGCUGCAUGGCUGUCGUCAGCUCGUGUUG